GGCCUACCAUGGUGGUAACGGGUAACGGGGUGUUAGGGCACGACACCGGAGAGGGAGCCUGAGAAACGGCUACCACAUCCAAGGAUGGCAGCAGGCGCGCAAAUUACCCAAUCCCGACACGGGGAGGUAGUGACAAUAAAUAACAAUACGGGGUCCUUUAGGGUUUCGUAAUUGGAAUGAGUACAAUUUAAAUCUCUUAACGAGGAACAAUUGGAGGGCAAGUCUGGUGCCAGCAGCCGCGGUAAUUCCAGCUCCAAUAGCGUAUAUUAAAGUUGUUGCAGUUAAAAAGCUCGUAGUUGAAUUUCGGGAUCAGUACGCUGGUCGUGCCUUCGGUAUGUACUGGUGUUACUGGUUCCUACCUUCUGACGAACCGUCAUGUCAUUAAUUUGGUGUGGCGGGGAAUCAGGACUGUUACUUUGAAAAAAUUAGAGUGUUUAAAGCAGGCUCGCGCUUGAAUACAUUAGCAUGGAAUAAUGAAAUAGGACGUUCGAUCCUAUUUUGUUGGUUUCUAGGAUUGACGUAAUGAUUAAUAGGGAUAGUUGGGGGCAUUAGUAUUCAAUUGUCAGAGGUGAAAUUCUUGGAUUUAUUGAAGACUGACUACUGCGAAAGCAUUUGCCAAGGAUGUUUUCAUUAAUCAAGAACGAAAGUUAGGGGAUCGAAGACGAUCAGAUACCGUCGUAGUCUUAACCAUAAACUAUGCCGACUAGGGAUCGGAUGAUGUUAAUUUUUUAAUGACUCAUUCGGCGCCUUACG
rnacentral:rRNA from 1 species